GCUGGCACUGACUGGAAGCUCUGCUGAAGGAAAGGACUGAAUUCCUUAGAGCACCUGCAUAAACACAAACAAAACCACUGAAGAUGGAAGAUGAUAGCAGUGAACUCUGCUCCAAAGGGAGGCAGAUGGGAUCUCCUUAAGUGACAGAGAUGUGACUGUGGUGAUGACAAUAUCGUACUUCAAAAUCAAACCAACAGUAUGCUGUGAUCAUUAUUCUUUUCCACACAACUAAAAGUGACACAGCCAGCUUUCUCCACAUUUUAUUACGCGGGAGAAACCUAGAUUCCCACACAUGAACAUGCAGCAGCUUCCUCGGAAAGAGACACGUCUGCUUAAUUUUUGGGAAGGCUUUGGUGGAGCUCUGUCCCGGAGCACCCGCUGGCAGCAGGCGUCACUCGGACAGGAUGGAGCGCCAUGCAACAGCCUGCAAGCAAAUCCCAGCAGCUUCACCAACCUCAUCACACGGAAGAGACGGAAAAAAGUGAUGGAGAUCCGAGCGCUGUCCUCAGAGUUCUGAAGAGCAUCACAGAGAAGUCAAACCAAAUACAAACCCAAACAUGCAACACUUCCAGAAAAACAACAUAAAAUGCAAAGGUGGAAGAGAAAUUCAGUCAGUCAUGAGAUUCUCACAGCAUAACACAAGACCAGGAAGAAAUUUCCAGGUGAAUCUGUUGCCCAAACACCUAUUACGUGCAACUGCCAUCAGACAAAAUUCUGGUAAGCUAUGGAGUUUUCCAAGUACUUUAAGAGUAAUUCAAACUUCCAAACUUACUGCAGGAUAUGAAAAGCAAAAAGACGGGGAAAAAAAAACCCAAAAACCAUUCUAUUUUCCUCAACAUGGAAAGCCUGACUUUCUAUGUGCCCUUCUGCUUCCUCAUGAGAUACGACUGCCAGCACCCCUCCAAACCCAAACAUCUAGCAGAAAAAGAAAUUAUCAUUUGUUAAACCAAGCCACUGAAAACUUACAGAAUCUUGAAUUAUCUUGGUCAAGUUACCUAGAAAAGCAACAGGCUUCAAGUAAGAUAGUAACAUAAGCUCGAUUCCUUUUUUUUUUAAUGUUUCCUGUGCAUAUAUAGAAAACAACUUUUAUUGUCUCA